rnacentral:rRNA from 1 species
GGACGAACGCUGGCGGCGUGCCUAAUACAUGCAAGUAGAACGCUGAAGAGAGGAGCUUGCUCUUCUUGGAUGAGUUGCGAACGGGUGAGUAACGCGUAGGUAACCUGCCUUGUAGCGGGGGAUAACUAUUGGAAACGAUAGCUAAUACCGCAUAACAAUGGAUGACACAUGUCAUUUAUUUGAAAGGGGCAAUUGCUCCACUACAAGAUGGACCUGCGUUGUAUUAGCUAGUAGGUGAGGUAACGGCUCACCUAGGCGACGAUACAUAGCCGACCUGAGAGGGUGAUCGGCCACACUGGGACUGAGACACGGCCCAGACUCCUACGGGAGGCAGCAGUAGGGAAUCUUCGGCAAUGGGGGCAACCCUGACCGAGCAACGCCGCGUGAGUGAAGAAGGUUUUCGGAUCGUAAAGCUCUGUUGUAAGUCAAGAACGAGUGUGAGAGUGGAAAGUUCACACUGUGACGGUAGCUUACCAGAAAGGGACGGCUAACUACGUGCCAGCAGCCGCGGUAAUACGUAGGUCCCGAGCGUUGUCCGGAUUUAUUGGGCGUAAAGCGAGCGCAGGCGGUUUGAUAAGUCUGAAGUUAAAGGCUGUGGCUCAACCAUAGUUCGCUUUGGAAACUGUCAAACUUGAGUGCAGAAGGGGAGAGUGGAAUUCCAUGUGUAGCGGUGAAAUGCGUAGAUAUAUGGAGGAACACCGGUGGCGAAAGCGGCUCUCUGGUCUGUAACUGACGCUGAGGCUCGAAAGCGUGGGGAGCGAACAGGAUUAGAUACCCUGGUAGUCCACGCCGUAAACGAUGAGUGCUAGGUGUUGGAUCCUUUCCGGGAUUCAGUGCCGCAGCUAACGCAUUAAGCACUCCGCCUGGGGAGUACGACCGCAAGGUUGAAACUCAAAGGAAUUGACGGGGGCCCGCACAAGCGGUGGAGCAUGUGGUUUAAUUCGAAGCAACGCGAAGAACCUUACCAGGUCUUGACAUCCCGAUGCUAUUUCUAGAGAUAGAAAGUUACUUCGGUACAUCGGUGACAGGUGGUGCAUGGUUGUCGUCAGCUCGUGUCGUGAGAUGUUGGGUUAAGUCCCGCAACGAGCGCAACCCCUAUUGUUAGUUGCCAUCAUUCAGUUGGGCACUCUAGCGAGACUGCCGGUAAUAAACCGGAGGAAGGUGGGGAUGACGUCAAAUCAUCAUGCCCCUUAUGACCUGGGCUACACACGUGCUACAAUGGUUGGUACAACGAGUUGCGAGUCGGUGACGGCAAGCUAAUCUCUUAAAGCCAAUCUCAGUUCGGAUUGUAGGCUGCAACUCGCCUACAUGAAGUCGGAAUCGCUAGUAAUCGCGGAUCAGCACGCCGCGGUGAAUACGUUCCCGGGCCUUGUACACACCGCCCGUCACACCACGAGAGUUUGUAACACCCGAAGUCGGUGAGGUAACCUUUUGGAGCCAGCCGCCUAAGGUGGGAUAGAUGAUUGGGGUGAAGUCGUAACAGGGUAAACCGUAAAA